rnacentral:rRNA from 1 species
CGACUCUCGGCAACGGAUAUCUCGGCUCUCGCAUCGAUGAAGAACGUAGCGAAAUGCGAUACUUGGUGUGAAUUGCAGAAUCCCGUGAACCAUCGAGUUUUUGAACGCAAGUUGCGCCCAAAGCCAUUAGGCUAAGGGCACGUCUGCCUGGGCAUCAC